rnacentral:rRNA from 1 species
AGAUUGAACGCUAGCGGGAUGCUUUACACAUGCAAGUCGAACGGCAGCGCGGACUUCGGUCUGGCGGCGAGUGGCGAACGGGUGAGUAAUAUAUCGGAACGUGCCCAGUAGCGGGGGAUAACUACGCGAAAGCGUGGCUAAUACCGCAUACGCCCUACGGGGGAAAGGGGGGGAUUCUUCGGAACCUCUCACUAUUGGAGCGGCCGAUAUCAGAUUAGCUAGUUGGUGAGGUAAAGGCUCACCAAGGCGACGAUCUGUAGCUGGUUUGAGAGGACGACCAGCCACACUGGGACUGAGACACGGCCCAGACUCCUACGGGAGCAGCAGUGGGAAUUUGGACAAUGGGGGAAACCCUGAUCCAGCCAUCCCGCGUGUGCGA